AUUGAACGCUGGCGGCAUGCCUAACACAUGCAAGUCGAACGGAAGCGCGGACCUCGGUCUGGUGGCGCGUGGCGCACGGGUGAGUAAUACACCGGAAUGUACCCUGCUGUGGGGGAUAAUUAGUCGAAAGAACAGCUAAUACUGCAUACGACGUGAGGGUGCAGGAGGGGGAUCGCAAGGCAUCUCGCAGCAGGCGCGAACGACGUCGGACUAGCUAGUUGGUGGGGUAAAGGCCCACCAAGCCGACGUUCAGUAGCUGGUCUGAGAGGACGAUCAGCCACACUGGAACUGAGACACGGCCCAGACUCCUACGGGAGGCAGCAGUGGGGAAUUUUGGGCAGUGGGGGCAACCCUGAUCCAGCAAUGCCGCGUGUGUGAAGAAGGCCUUCGGGUUGUAAAGCACUUUUGUCCGGAAAGAAAUCGCGCUGGUUGAGACCUGGCGUGGAUGACGGUACCGGAUGAAUAAGCACCGGCUAACUACGUG
rnacentral:rRNA from 1 species